UAUCCAACCAACUGCUACCUUAGCUGUCUUUAGUAGCACAUUUGAACACGGCUUUUCAAAUUAUGUGCCGCUUGUGAUUUUCUUAUUAAAGGUAAUGGUCAUCCUGUUGGUAGCAGCACUGUGCAGAUUUAAAGACAUAGAAUGUAUGGUCUGUACAGGGAAAAGGAAAAAAGAAAAAAAAAUGGUGGGGGUUUUGGUGGAGGAAUCGUGUUCGGCGCAAACGCUGAACCAUGCAUGAAAAUGAGGUCAAGGACAAUGGCCAAAUAACAGACGGAAACUUCGUAACAUAAGGCAUCUGUAUACAAGGGUACUUCCGCAACAUAACGAAAAAUUCACCUUUAACAUAUAGAGGACGAUGUGAUGGUGUCUCCGAAUUGUCUUUGCAAAAGUUGUACAUAUCAUUCGCAUUCUGAAUCAAACAUUUGCCUCUAG